rnacentral:rRNA from 1 species
AAAGAACCUGAAACCUAAUAGUCAUAGUUUGAUAGGGCGAUUAUAUCGUUCUAUCGUACGUUUCGAAUAACGUGUCAGAGAGUGUACUUAAGUGGUGAGGAUAACUUUGAAAAAGGUAUCCGAAGGGAAACCAAUUGCCCGCAAUUUAUGAGGGGCAUGGUAUGAAAGUGCCAAUAAUCACUUGGGUACGACCCGAAGCCGGGCGAUCUAACCCUGGGUAGGAUGAAGCAAGGAUAAAACCUUGUGGAGGUCCGAAGAGGUUCUACGGACAAGUGUUCUUCUAACCUGGGGCUAGGGGUGAAAAGCCAAUCGAGCCCGGCGAUAGCUGGUUCCUACCAAAAUUGGCUGUAGUCAAGUCCUGAACGAGAUUGCUAAGAUUGUAAAGCUACGGAUCAAAGGAUUAGGCCGGGAAACUGGUCGACCUUUUGUCCAACUCAGAAUGUCUUAGCGUUGAAGACUUUAGGAAACGGGGAUGUGGGGUAAACUUACAUUCCAAGAGGGGAACAACCCAGACUAUAGUUAAGGUCCUUAAAUAAUGGUUAAGUGUUAAAGGGUGAAAAGUGUUUGCAAUCUCAGACAGCGAGGAGGUUGGCUCAGAAGCAGCCAUCCUUUAAAAAGUGCGUAACAGCUUACUCGUCAAGGUUGUAAGUCUUGAAAGUAAUAGGGCUAAACCAUUUACCGAUACUAUAGAUUAUCCAUAAGAUAUAUGGUAGGUAGGCGUUCUUUUAGGCUAGAAGCAUUUCCAAAAGGAAAUGUGGACCUGGAAGAAAUGAGAAUUCUGACGGUAGUAAGAUCAGAGCAGAGU